ensembl:lncRNA
UGCCAGGUUAAGAUUGCACAUCUGUAUUUAUCUGCAGAGACAUUAAAAGGGUUUUAAAGGCGUUUACAUGCAUUUCUUUUAAUCCAUAAUUUCACCGUCUUUGAGAAAUGAUCUUUCAUAUUGCACUACUAUUUAUUGAGUUCAGUCUCACUCACAGCUAGUUAUGCUAACUAACUACACACAUGAACGCGUGCAUUCAUUUGUAAACCAUUACAUGUGUGCAGAUGUCCAUGUCAGACCUAGUGGGAGAACACUGGGAACAAUUAGAUUGUAAAUGAUUGGCUCCCUGGGGCGCGCCUUCGCCAGGGAUGUCGCUUGCGUGACGGGCCGGGCGGGGCCCCCCUCCGGUGUGGCCAGUACGGCUGGGGGUGUGGGGUGGGGGGUGCUAUGGGGCCUCCCCGGGGGUCGUGUUGGGUGGGUGUGUGGGGGCGCGGCGCGUGGCUCUUGGCCUGGUGGAUCCGCGUCGGGAUUGGCUGGUCUGCUGGCUGGGCGCACCGGGCGCCAUUCCGGGGCGGGGGUGUCCCGGGGGUGGAUCCGUGGUCUGGGUGUCCGGGGGCGUGCUCUCCUGUCAUCUGCCCGGGGACCGGCCGCGGCUCGUGGCGGCGCUGCGCAGCCUUGGGUGGGGCGGGGCUGGUGGCCUGGGGCCCGCUGUCGUCCGGGGUGCGCUGGCGUCGGGGGGGUGUCUCGUGCCGGUGCGUGGGUCGUCGGGGGUCCCCUCCGUGGGGGGGGGGGGGGGGCUCUUCUGGCGCCGUUGGUGUGGGAUGGCGGUACCGGGCUGGGGGUGCUUCGGUACUCGGGCUUGCCGGUCCGUGGCUGGCGGGGUGGCCCUGCUUGGCGGUGGAUGGUGUCCUCUUUCGUCGGGGGGGCCGGGGCCGCCUUCCGGUGGAGGGUGUUGUGUCGUGGCGCCGGGUGGGCCUGUGCUGGCCCUGGUGCGGGCACGGGCCUCCCCCCUGCUCGGCCGCUCUCCUUGGCGGCGGGGGGGCGUCGCUCUGGGCCGGCGUGCGGCGGGGGUCGCUCCCUGGGGCACCGGGGGACGGGGUUGGUGCCUGGCUGCGCCCGGGGGUGGGGGGUGCCGCUGUGCUCCGCGGGGCCGUCGCAGUCUGGGGGGUGCCGUGGGGGGGGUCUCCGGCUUUGCUGCUCCGGGGCCCACAGUGCCGCUUGCCCGUCUGCACCAUCUACCAUCUCGCGUGGCCCGCCACGCGGACGGGCCCGGCUCGCACCGGACAGUCCUCCUACAUGUACACUUCACCUCACUCCCAGCUGGUCUGGCCCAUUCACAAUAUGCACCACACACCCAUACCCAACCCUUGGGGGGCUGGAUGGUGGGACUGGGGGUGGAGGGGGCCGCCACCUGUGUCACUGUGUAGUGGCGUGGGGGCGGCACUCCCACCUCUAGUUACCCUACUAAUCCCUCCAAUUUUAAUCACACCUCAACAUGCCACCCCCCGGAGGGUGUACCCUCACUUACACCCUCCGGCCUAUUACACCACAUACACGUAUAUCCACAGAGGUAGGAUGGGGAGCACCGCUCCCCUCCAUCCCCCUUCUUUUAAUUACACCCCAUACAUUCACUGAACACACACACUCACACAGGGGAUAGGGAAGUGCCUCUCCAUUGGGGAAUGGAGAGGCACCAUAACAGGGUGGUGGGUUGGCUCACAUAUUUGGGCCUCUCCGGUGGGGGCCUGGCCCCUCUGUUGGUGGCUGGGCCACU